CCUAGUUACCUCUUAUUCAGCACUCUUCUCUUGUCCAAAGUCCUUUGUUGCUUCAUCUUUUCUUUGGAUUGAUUUUUCUUCCGUAUUGAGCUCCUUCAAUUUAUUUUCUAGGAUACCUGUAUCAUCAUCAAGCAAAUCUUUCUUUCUCGAGGAAGGGUUGUUAGUUUCAUCAAAAAUGAUAUGAAUGGAUUCUUCAAGAAUUAAGGUGCAUUUAUUGAAGAUCCUGUAUACUUUGCUGGACAUGGAGUAUCCAAGAAAGAUACCC
rnacentral:lncRNA from 1 species